rnacentral:rRNA from 1 species
UACGUAGGGUGCGAGCGUUAAUCGGAAUUACUGGGCGUAAAGCGUGCGCAGGCGGCUUUGCAAGACAGAUGUGAAAUCCCCGGGCUUAACCUGGGAACUGCAUUUGUGACUGCAUGGCUGGAGUGCGGCAGAGGGGGAUGGAAUUCCGCGUGUAGCAGUGAAAUGCGUAGAUAUGCGGAGGAACACCGAUGGCGAAGGCAAUCCCCUGGGCCUGCACUGAAGCUCAUGCACGAAAGCGUGGGGAGCAAACAGG